AUUGAACGCUGGCGGCAGGCCUAACACAUGCAAGUCGAGCGAGCGGCGGACGGGUGAGUAAUGUCUGGGAAACUGCCUGAUGGCGGGGGAUAACUACUGGAAACGGUAGCUAAUACCGCAUACCAUCAGAUGUGCCCAGCUGGGAUUGGCUAGUAGGUGGGGUAACGGCUCACCUAGGCGACGAACCCUAGCUGGUCUGAGAGGAUGACCAGCCACACUGGAACUGUGACACGGUCCAGACUCCGACGGUAGGCAGCAGUGGGGAAUAUUGCACAAUGGGCGCAAGCCUGAUGCAGCCAUGCCGCGUGUGUGAAGAAGGCCUUCGGGUUGUAAAGCACUUUCAGCUGGGAGGCGUUACCCGCAGAAGAAGCACCGGCUAACUCCGUGCCAGCAGCCGCGGUAAUUC
rnacentral:rRNA from 1 species